GGUGCCCCCCUUGUGGUCGGUAUACAGGUGGUGCAUGGCUGUCGUCAGCUCGUGUAGAGAGAUGUUGGGUUAAGUCCCGCAACGAGCGCAACCCUUGUUCUGUGUUGCCAGCAUGCCCUUCGGGGUGAUGGGGACUCACAGGAGACUGCCGGGGUCAACUCGGAGGAAGGUGGGGACGACGUCAAGUCAUCAUGCCCCUUAUGUCUUGGGCUGCACACGUGCUACAAUGGCCGGUACAAUGAGCUGCGAUGCCGCGAGGCGGAGCGAAUCUCAAAAAGCCGGUCUCAGUUCGGAUUGGGGUCUGCAACUCGACCCCAUGAAGUCGGAGUUGCUAGUAAUCGCAGAUCAGCAUUGCUGCGGUGAAUACGUUCCCGGGUCUUGUACACACCGA
rnacentral:rRNA from 1 species